UACGGGGGGGGCAAGCGUUGUUCGGAAUUACUGGGCGUAAAGGGCUCGUAGGCGGCCAACUAAGUCAGACGUGAAAUCCCUCGGCUUAACCGGGGAACUGCGUCUGAUACUGGAUGGCUUGAAUCCGGGAGAGGGAUGCGGAAUUCCAGGUGUAGCGGUGAAAUGCGUAGAUAUCUGGAGGAAUACCGGUGGCGAAGGCGGCUUGCUGGGCCAGUUCUGGACGCUGAGGAGCGAAAAGCGU
rnacentral:rRNA from 1 species